rnacentral:rRNA from 1 species
UACAAUGGAGAGUUUGAUCCUGGCUCAGGAAGAACGCUAGCGGCAGGCCUUAUACAUGCAAGUCGAGGGGCAGCAUUUACUUCGGUAAAUGGCGACCGGCGCACGGGUGAGUAACGCGUAUGCAACCUACCUUUAACUGGGGCAUAGCUCGAGGAAACUCGAAUUAAUUCCCCAUAGUACAUUAUAAUAUCUCAUGAUAUAAAUGUUAAAGAUUUAUCGGUUAAAGAUGGGCAUGCGUCUGAUUAGUUUGUUGGUAAGGUAACGGCUUACCAAGACUACGAUCAGUAGGGGGUCUGAGAGGAUGAUCCCCCACACUGGUACUGAGACACGGACCAGACUCCUACGGGAGGCAGCAGUAAGGAAUAUUGCACAAUGGAGGAAACUCUGAUGCAGCAAUGCCGCGUGAGUGAAGAAGGCCCUUGGGUCGUAAAGCUCUUUUAUGGGGGAAGAUGAUGACGGUACCCCAAGAAUAAGCACCGGCUAACUCCGUGCCAGCAGCCGCGGUAAUACGGAGGGUGCAAGCGUUGUUCGGAAUUACUGGGCGUAAAGGGCGCGCAGGCGGAAUAGCAAGUCGGAGGUGAAAGCCCGGG